UGGCUCAGUUGGUAGAGCAUGGUGUUUGCAACGCCAGUGUUGUGGGUUCAAUUCCCAC
rfam:Salmo salar isolate Sally breed double haploid chromosome ssa09, whole genome shotgun sequence.